rnacentral:rRNA from 1 species
AUCUCGGCCGUUGAACCGAGCAGCGGCCGUGAUCUGACGGCAGAGAAAACUGUAGGGAACCGUCUACCGGCUACCGGCUCGCGGCAGGAACAACACCGACCCGUCGUCCCCUUCUAUCCCUCCCCCACCGCCGGCCGCCGCCCGCUCGUCACCGGAGGCACGCGGCCGCUGCGCAGUUCGCCGAUGAAAAGAUCUGUUUAGCGAACUUAAGCUGGUGGAGAUUUCGUGAGUCACACGUCAAAUUUACCUGCUGCAUACCGAUGGACAACUCUCAGAGUCAGCCAUUACCUCCUGGUGUUGGAGCAUGGCAGCCGCCACCUUCAAAUCAUCCUCCACAAUUUCAGCAUCCUCCACAAUUUCAGCAUCCCUCACAAUUUCAACCUACCCCACGCCCACAUGCUUAUCCAACACCAUAUGACACCAGACCCAAUGGUGGUAGCAAUCAAAAUGGAGCAACCAUGUACUAUGCAACACAACCUUUUCAUCCUAGUCCACAUCCACAUGCUUAUCCAACACCAUACGACACCAGGCCCAAUAAUGGCAACAAUCAAAAUACAGCAGGAACAUUCUAUGCUACACAACCUAGCAUGCUUUUUGCUCCCGCUCAAAGUACUCCUAGUGUCACCACAGAAGCUGGGAAUGGACAACCAGAUCUCAAGGCCCAUCAGACUGCUCACGAGGUUGCCAACCAUAACGCAAAUGCAGCAAACAUCGAAUCUGCUGUCCAAGAGGCUGUUCUUCACGAACAGGACAUUGAGACGCAGCAAGUAAUACAAAAUCAAAGGCAAGCAAAAUCAACAAAUGACCCUGCAGAAUAUGGGGAAGACAUACUUUCGAGCCGGCGCGACCCUAAUGCACUGAAGGAACACUUGCUGAAGAUGACGGUUGACCAUCGUGCAGAGAUGGCAAAUAAAAGGGGAAAGUCACUUCAUCCAGAUAAUGGCAAUGUUGAAAUUGGCAAUGGCUAUGGUGUACCAGGAGGCGGUGCUUAUCAUGCUGGAAAUUUGUCAAGUGCUCAAAUGAAUAAACCAAAAGAUGAUGCUGAGAAAGCGAAAGGUGAUGACGGUCUCCCCGAGUUUCUGAAGCAGAGGUUAAAAGCAAGGGGAAUUCUUAAAGACAAGGCAGCAAAUGAUAGCAGCAUGGCUAAACAAAAUGCAGAUUCUCAAGAAGGCCACAACAAAUCAGCCCAAGAGUUACCUCCUGGUUGGGCUGAGACGAAGGAUCCAACGACUGGUGCUUCUUAUUUCUACAACCAAAGCACCGGAGUGACCCAAUGGGAUCGUCCUGGUGGUACCGUGAAUACUGUGCAGCAUCAACCUGCUCCAUCAUUGCCAGAAAAUUGGGAGGAGGCACUUGACAAAUCAACAGGCCAGAAAUACUACUAUAACACAAAGACACAGGCAACACAGUGGGAGCCACCUACUUCUGUGAACCCAGUUAUUGUGCCACAAGCAUCCACCCUUGUUGCAGUUCAGCCUACCACUCAAAAUACUGAUCUUUGGAACCCUCACAUACAAAGAUGUUCAGGCUGUGGUGGCUGGGGAGUCGGUCUUGUCCAGCCGUGGGGAUAUUGCAAUCACUGCACAAGGGUUCAAAAUCUGCCUUUUCAACAGUAUCCGUCUUACUCGAACAAUAUCGUGCCCUCAAGUGUCGCCAAUGCUCCCAAAAGUCAAGGAAACAUUGCAGCUAAGGACAGAUCAAGUUCAAAACCCCCUUCAGGAAAAAUAAACAAAAAAGAUAACCGAAAAAGAGGCCGCGCUGAGGAGGAUGAGCUUGACCCAAUGGAUCCAAGCUCUUACUCAGAUGCUCCACGGGGUGGCUGGGUUGUUGGCCUGAAGGGUGUACAGCCACGAGCAGCGGAUACAACUGCAUCUGGCCCUCUGUUCCAACAAAGACCGUAUCCCUCACCUGGCGCCGUGUUGAGGAAAAAUGCGGAGGCGGCAUCCGGCGGCGGCAAGAAACGCGGUGGUAUGGCUGCGAUCAGCAAAAGAGGGGAUGGGAGUGAUGGGCUUGGGGAAGCGGAUUAAGUUUCUUAGUAAGCUUUCUCUGCAACCAGUAGAUCCCGGUGGCUUUCUCUCCUUUUGGAAGUUGUUUGAAACUUUGGCCGACCGAUAGCUAGCUAAAAAAGAAGCAAGUUAUCAGCUGUAAAUUAUUACCAGGAGCAAGUCCAGUGCCGGAGAGGAGAAGCUAGUGCAGUGUGAGCUCACCUGAGGUUUUGUGCCCCAUCGGCCGAUAAAGCUAAUAUCAUGGGGGAGUUUUCACUCCUGGACAGGCUACUGCAGUGUGAGUUCAGUAGGGCACUAUGGUUGUUGCCUACAAAAAAGUGUGGCCAUGGUAUGAAAUGCUUGAGUUCUGUGAAUUUUGUACUGUAAACUGUAAGGUGGAAUUUUUUGGUCAUGCAGUAUGAGAUUGAUUUUCUAGAUUGACACGGCGAACGAGGGUCGGACGGGGUGCUUGAUGUAUGAUAAUUCAUGUGUGCACGCUAUUAUCUACUGAAACUAUUAUCCUU